rnacentral:lncRNA from 1 species
GGUUAUUUGUGUGUCUCAUCCAAUUCUUUGUUCAUAACACCAAGAACCUGGAACUCCCAACUUCCAAUCUGGUAACAUAUUUUGGUGAGCCAGCCAGGAGGGUCAAGCCUGCAAUACCUAAAGCUCCAGACCUGGAACCCAAAGCUCCCAUCAGUCGCUACCCUGUGAACCUGUGGAGGAUCUGAAGUACCUGUUUAAAAGGCAUCCAAAAGAUAGAAUCUAUCAAGCUACAAAUGGCUAUGUUGCCUGAAGCCCCAGACAUCAUCCUACAAGAAAUAAGUCCAGACUUCUUAAUUUCCCCCUGGAUAGAGCAGGGGUACUCCUUAAUGACUUUACGAAGUUCUUGUUUGUUAAAUGCAAGUUGGUAACUUACUUCCUCCUCCCUUAUGCCCUGUGCCACGCGAGCUUCA